rnacentral:lncRNA from 1 species
GAAGUCAUACAGAUGGACCUAAAUAUGGAUAUCAACAUCGACAGCAAGAUGUACAGGUGAGUCCUCUUGUAACAUUCUUUAAUGUACUUCUAUUUUAUUAUUAAUUCCUGUACACUCUGAACCGAAUUUGUUGCAAAAUAAAGUCAAUCAUGUUCUCUUAUACGCACACACAACAGAACAGCAACCUCUACAUGGUGCGAAGCCUACUGCAACAAAAACGUGAUCUUAGUGUCUUUGCAACUCAGCACACUCUACCAGCAGCACUGACAGCUGAUAGAUAAGACUGCUGUCAUCCAUUGAAGAGCUGACCAGAAACGUGAACAGAAAGACUGCAGCUGCACCUGAUGGGAUCCCUGCCAUAACAGGUAAUUGUAUUUUUGUUUCUUACUUUAUAUUGUAACAUUUGAUAUUGAUAUUGUUUGAAACAAACUAAUCUCAUCCAUUCAUUAAGUCAUCCAUUCAUUCAUAACUCCUCAGAUGUCUUCUGUCCAGUGAAGGCAGUGGAGAAGCCCUACACUGAUGUUGAAACUGUGCCACUCUUCUAGAAACCGGCUACAAGGAUGGGCAGCCGUUUUCGCAAAGUCAGCCAACCUCUUGCUUCCAAAUGACCCUUAUCCAGAAGUAUCUGUGAGUGCCUCAUCAGCAGAAACUAAAGUGGAGAACUACCUCUCAGAGAAAAACGCACACAUAAGAAAAGCGACGCACUUCAGUACUGGAAAGAACAUCCUAAUCUGUUUCCCUCUAUGGCUGCUGUUGCGAUCCCAGUGUGCCCCCUGUAGCUCUGUGGACAGUUUUUGAUUUGUUUACAUCUCACCCAACCGGUCACGGUAGAUGGCUGCACCUCCCUGAGCCUGGUUCUGCCAGAGGUUUCUUCCUGUCAAAAGGGAGUUUUUCCCUUCCUACUGUCGCCAAAGUGCUUGCUCAUAGGGGGUCAUAUGAUUGUUGGGUUUAUCUAUAUACAUUAAUGCUUGUAUGCUUUUCAUUUAUACUUUUGCUUUACUCUUCAGUUCAUAAUAUAAAGUUACUUGAAUGGUUUCUUUUUCCUUUUUUUAUCUUAUAUUGCUUUGCUGUUUACCACAAUCUAAAUAUCAUGUUUAAAUGUAUUACAUUAUUGUCAAUGGUAUUUGUACAAAAUAUAGUUUGAAUAAGAUA